rnacentral:rRNA from 1 species
CAGAGGUCUCAAGCGUUGUUCGGAUUCAUUGGGCGUAAAGGGUGCGUAGGCGGCGCGGUAAGUCGGGUGUGAAAUCUCGGAGCUUAACUCCGAAACUGCAUUCGAUACUGCCGUGCUUGAGGACUGGAGAGGAGACUGGAAUUUACGGUGUAGCAGUGAAUGCGUAGAUAUCGUAAGGAAGACCAGUGGCGAAGGCGAGUCGUCUGGGCCGAUACUGACGCUGAGGAGCGAAAGCGUGGGGAGCGAACAGG